rnacentral:rRNA from 1 species
UACGUAGGGGGCGAGCGUUGCCCGGAUUCAUUGGGCGUAAAGGGCGCGUAGGCGGCGGGGUAAGUCGGGUGUGAAAUCUCAGAGCUCAACUCUGAAAUGGCACUUGAUACUGCUCUGCUAGAGGACUGGAGAGGAGAUUGGAAUUCACGGUGUAGCAGUGAAAUGCGUAGAUAUCGUGAGGAAGACCGGUGCGAAGGCGGAUCUCUGGACAGUUCCUGACGCUGAGGCGCGAAGGCCAGGGGAGCAAACAGG